rnacentral:rRNA from 1 species
GAUGAACGCUGGCGGCGUGCCUAAUACAUGCAAGUCGAGCGAACAGACGAGGAGCUUGCUCCUCUGACGUUAGCGGCGGACGGGUGAGUAACACGUGGAUAACCUACCUAUAAGACUGGGAUAACUUCGGGAAACCGGAGCUAAUACCGGAUAAUAUAUUGAACCGCAUGGUUCAAUGGUGAAAGACGGUUUUGCUGUCACUUAUAGAUGGAUCCGCGCCGCAUUAGCUAGUUGGUAAGGUAACGGCUUACCAAGGCAACGAUGCGUAGCCGACCUGAGAGGGUGAUCGGCCACACUGGAACUGAGACACGGUACAGACUCCUACGGGAGGCAGCAGUAGGGAAUCUUCCGCAAUGGGCGAAAGCCUGACGGAGCAACGCCGCGUGAGUGAUGAAGGUCUUCGGAUCGUAAAACUCUGUUAUUAGGGAAGAACAAAUGUGUAAGUAACUAUGCACGUCUUGACGGUACCUAAUCAGAAAGCCACGGCUAACUACGUG